UCAACAUGAGAGUUUGAUCCUGGCUCAGAACGAACGCUGGCGGCAGGCUUAACACAUGCAAGUCGAGCGCCCCGCAAGGGGAGCGGCAGACGGGUGAGUAACGCGUGGGAACGUACCCUUUACUACGGAAUAACGCAGGGAAACUUGUGCUAAUACCGUAUGUGCCCUUCGGGGGAAAGAUUUAUCGGUAAGGGAUCGGCCCGCGUUGGAUUAGCUAGUUGGUGGGGUAAAGGCCUACCAAGGCGACGAUCCAUAGCUGGUCUGAGAGGAUGAUCAGCCACAUUGGGACUGAGA
rnacentral:rRNA from 1 species